GAAUAUUGGACAAUGGGCGAAAGCCUGAUCCAGCCACGCCGCGUGUGUGAAGAAGGUCUUCGGAUUGUAAAGCACUUUAGGUUGGGAGGAAGGGCAGUAAGCGAAUACCUUGCUGUUUUGACGUUACCGACAGAAUCAGCACCGGCUACCUCGGUGCCACCAGCAUCGGUAAUACAGAGGGUGCAAGCGUUAAUCGGAAUUAGGGGGGGUAAAGCGCGCGUAGGUGGGUCGUUAAGUUGGAUGUGAAAUCCCCGGGCUCAACCUGGGAACUGCAUCCAAAACUGGCGAGCUAGAGUAGGGCAGAGGGUGGUGGAAUUUCCUGUGUAGCGGUGAAAUGCGUAGAUAUAGGAAGGAACACCAGUGGCGAAGGCGACCACCUGGGCUCAUACUGACACUGAGGUGCGAAAGCAUGGGGAGCAAACAG
rnacentral:rRNA from 1 species